rnacentral:rRNA from 1 species
GAUGAACGCUGGCGGCGUGCCUAAUACAUGCAAGUCGAGCGAACGGACGAGAAGCUUGCUUCUCUGAUGUUAGCGGCGGACGGGUGAGUAACACGUGGAUAACCUACCUAUAAGACUGGGAUAACUUCGGGAAACCGGAGCUAAUACCGGAUAAUAUUUUGAACCGCAUGGUUCAAAAGUGAAAGACGGUCUUGCUGUCACUUAUAGAUGGAUCCGCGCUGCAUUAGCUAGUUGGUAAGGUAACGGCUUACCAAGGCAACGAUGCAUAGCCGACCUGAGAGGGUGAUCGGCCACACUGGAACUGAGACACGGUCCAGACUCCUACGGGAGGCAGCAGUAGGGAAUCUUCCGCAAUGGGCGAAAGCCUGACGGAGCAACGCCGCGUGAGUGAUGAAGGUCUUCGGAUCGUAAAACUCUGUUAUUAGGGAAGAACAUAUGUGUAAGUAACUGUGCACAUCUUGACGGUACCUAAUCAGAAAGCCACGGCUAACUACGUGCCAUCAGCCGCGGUAAUACGUAGGUGGCAAGCGUUAUCCGGAAUUAUUGGGCGUAAAGCGCGCGUAGGCGGUUUUUUAAGUCUGAUGUGAAAGCCCACGGCUCAACCGCGGAAGGUCAUUGGAAACUGGAAAACUUGAGUGCAGAAGAGGAAAGUGGAUUUCCAUGUGUAGCGGUGAAAUGCGCAGAGAUAUGGAGGACCACCAGUGGCGAAGGCGACUUUCUGGUCUGUAACUGACGCUGAUGUGCGAAAGCGUGGGGAUCAAACAGGAUUAGAUACCCUGGUAGUCCACGCCGUAAACGAUGAGUGCUAAGUGUUAGGGGGUUUCCGCCCCUUAGUGCUGCAGCUAACGCAUUAAGCACUCCGCCUGGGGAGUACGACCGCAAGGUUGAAACUCAAAGGAAUUGACGGGGACCCGCACAAGCGGUGGAGCAUGUGGUUUAAUUCGAAGCAACGCGAAGAACCUUACCAAAUCUUGACAUCCUUUGACAACUCUAGAGAUAGAGCCUUCCCCUUCGGGGGACAAAGUGACAGGUGGUGCAUGGUUGUCGUCAGCUCGUGUCGUGAGAUGUUGGGUUAAGUCCCGCAACGAGCGCAACCCUUAAGCUUAGUUGCCAUCAUUAAGUUGGGCACUCUAAGUUGACUGCCGGUGACAAACCGGAGGAAGGUGGGGAUGACGUCAAAUCAUCAUGCCCCUUAUGAUUUGGGCUACACACGUGCUACAAUGGACAAUACAAAGGGCAGCGAAACCGCGAGGUCAAGCAAAUCCCAUAAAGUUGUUCUCAGUUCGGAUUGUAGUCUGCAACUCGACUACAUGAAGCUGGAAUCGCUAGUAAUCGUAGAUCAGCAUGCUACGGUGAAUACGUUCUCGGGUCU